GUGGGGACUUGGAGAACUUCUCUGACUAGCUAAAGGAUUGUAAACACACCAAUCAGGCCUCUGUGUCUAGCUAAAAGUUUGUAAACGCACCAAUCAGCACUCUGUAAAAAUGCACCUAUCAGUGCUCUGUGUCUAGCUAAAGGUUUGAAAAUCACCAAUCAGCACUCUGUAAAAAUGGACCAAUCAGCACUCUGUAAAAUGGACCCAUUAGCAGGACAUGGGCAGGGCCAAAUUACUGCGAAGGUCUGCAGCUUCACUCCUGAAGUCAGCAAGACCACGAACACACCAGGAGGAAAAAACAACCCCAGACGCGACAGUUUCAAGAGCUGUAACACUCGCUGCAAAGGUCUGCCGCUUCAAUCCUGAAGUCAAGCGAGACCACAACCCACCAGAAGGAAAAAACCCCGGACACAUCUGAACAUCUGAAGGAACAAACUCUGGACAUGCCAUCUUUAAGAACUGUAACACUCACCGCGAGGCUCUGUGGCUUUACUCUUAAAGUCAGCGAGACCAAGAACCCACCAGAGGGAACCAAUUCCAGACACACUGGGAUUACAGAUGUGAGCCACUACUCUGGGCCCUGACUUUAUUUCCAUGAAAUACGAAUUGUCCUUCACCUCCUGUGUGUAAUAGGCAGUUUUGCAUGUCACCUUUCAGUUCCCAUUAUCCACUCAACCCAGGAUCCUGCUUAGUUUAAUAAGCCUUCUCGUUGUCAGUCCCAGCUGCAACCAGCGCCCUACUCCAGUCCUUUACCGAGGUCCCUGCCCCUCUACCCCGCCCUGCUUCAGACUGAGGGGAGCGUGCCCCGCCUGAAGGAUGCAUGACUCUACCUGCUCCAAAAAGGCUCUUUGCAUUAAAACUAUUUUCAACUUAAGAGGAAAAACGAUUAAGCGUUCGGUACAGGUGGCUCACUACAUGUAAUAUUAGGGGUAAUAUCACGGUACAUCAGAAACAAUCCACCAAUCAGAACCCGGAGGACCCAGUCCUGGAGGGCAAGAGUAUGACAGCAGGCGACAGCCAUGGCCCAGCUGAGGAAAGAACCCGGAUCCGCCCCCCUUCAGGCCCCGCCCUUCAGAACAAAACCCCUUUCAGACCCCGCCCCGAAAAUGAUAACCCUCUGGCCCCAGCCCUUCUCGCUGUCCUGGGCGGCCCCAAGGCAGCCUCCUCCCUCUUGCCCCGCCCCAGUCCCGUUCCAGGUCCCACCCCCAC
rnacentral:lncRNA from 1 species